CCUACGGGAGGCAGCAGUGGGGAAUAUUGCACAAUGGGCGAAAGCCUGAUGCAGCGACGCCGCGUGAGGGAUGAAGGCCUUCGGGUUGUAAACCUCUUUCAGUAGGGAAGAAGCGAAAGUGACGGUACCUGCAGAAGAAGCGCCGGCUAACUACGUGCCAGCAGCCGCGGUAAU
rnacentral:rRNA from 1 species